rnacentral:rRNA from 1 species
GAUGAACGCUGGCGGCGUGCCUAAUACAUGCAAGUCGAGCGAACAGACGAGGAGCUUGUUCCUCUGACGUUAGUGGCGGACGGGUGAGUAACAUGUGGAUAACCUACCUAUAAGACUGGGAUAACUUCGGGAAACCGGAGCUAAUACCGGAUAAUAUCUUGAACCGCAUGGUUCAAUAGUGAAAGACGGUUUUGCUGUCACUUAUAGAUGGAUCCGCGCCGCAUUAGCUAGUUGGCAAGGUAACGGCUUACCAAGGCUACGAUGCGUAGCCGACCUGAUCGGGUGGUAGGCCACCCUGGAACUGGGACACGGUCCUGACUCCUACGUGAGGCAGCAGUAGGGAAUCUUCCGCAACGGGCGAGAGCCUGACGGAACAACGCCGAGUGAGAGAUGGAGGCCUUCGGAUCGUAAAACUCUGUUAUUAGGGAAGAACCAAUGUGUAAGUAGCUAUACACGUCUUGACGGUACCUAAUCAGAAAGCCACGGCUAACUACGUG